CUUAUGGGCACUUUUUCUCUGGUUUUCUUUUUUAUAUGGUGAUUUUUUAAAAUCUCUGCACGUAUUAAGGACAGUAACCAUUCUGCCGUAUAUAUUGUGCAAAGAGGUUGCAAUUGGUGAGUUCUGUUUGCAAAAGACCAACCACCUGGAAAUGCAAGCGUGGAAGCCAUGAGAGUGCCAAAAAAUGUGGAAGAUGGAGGCAGAGAGAACCAGACUUGAAUCCUGGCCCCACCUCUCACCCACACUCCCUGAACCUCAAGUUUUGCAUCUAUAAAACUGUGGUGAUAAUAAAACCUACCUAUAGGGCUGUUGAUCCAAACUGUAUUUUGUAGCUCCUCCAGGGAAGUUUUCCAGUCAACCUAAUGCUUCUCUAUGGCUGUUCAGGGAAUGAAAAAAUGAGGAAGGAAUUAAUGAAUUAUUUCAUGAGAAUGCCAUUUUCCUCUGCUUCUUUCAUGUUAAGAAUUAUAUAGAGC
rnacentral:lncRNA from 10 species